AACUGUCAUUACAAUGGAAUAUGUAAUCAAGCUAAAUCUCGGUGUUUAUGCUAUGAUGGUUUUUAUGGAACUGACUGUAAUGGUGAUUGUGGCUGUAAUGGACACGGCGUAUGCCUAAAAGAUAAUUCAUGUCAAUGUGAGGAAGGAUGGAGAUGGGAUGGUAGUCAAUGUGUUUGGGAUUGUCACUGUUCAGAUGGUGGUAAAUGUAUUGCUCCUGGUGAAUGUGGUUGUAAACAUCCAUGUAAGAUGGGAAAUUGUAGAAAUGGAGAAUGUCAAUGUUGGAAUGGAUAUAAAGGACAAGAUUGUUCAACAUACGACCCUAAAAUAAUGAUGAAUUAUGGGGUGAAAGUUGGAAUAAAUCUGGGAGGAAUAAAUUAUUAUUCAUCUGAAGUAAAGUUUGUUGAUAUAGCCAAACAAUCCCAGGAAUGGAUAACUCAAAGAGAUGGCGUUAAAGCAUGGAAUACCAAUGAACAUGAUAAAGUCAAGUGGUUAUCUGACGGUUAUCCGGCUUCUUUACCUUCUAAUAUGAAGGUGGUUAAGUUGAUAUAUAGAGGUUUCGGCAUACACGAAGAGACAGGAAACUACACAUUAUUAUGGGAUGGUGAUGGAG